AUUGAACGCUGGCGGCAGGCCUAACACAUGCAAGUCGAGCGGAUGAAGGGAGCUUGCUCCUGGAUUCAGCGGCGGACGGGUGAGUAAUGCCUAGGAAUCUGCCUGGUAGCGGGGGCUAACGUCCGGAAACGGGCGCUAAUACCGCAUACGUCCUGAGGGAGAAAGUGGGGGAUCUUCGGACCUCACGCUAUCAGAUGAGCCUAGGUCGGAUUAGCUAGUUGGUGGGGUAAAGGCCUACCAAGGCGACGAUCCGUAACUGGUCUGAGAGGAUGAUCAGUCACACUGGAACUGAGACACGGUCCAGACUCCUACGGGAGGCAGCAGUGGGGAAUAUUGGACAAUGGGCGAAAGCCUGAUCCAGCCAUGCCGCGUGUGUGAAGAAGGUCUUCGGAUUGUAAAGCACUUUAAGUUGGGAGGAGAGGCAGUAAGUUAAUACCUUGCUGUUUUGACGUUACCAACAGAAUAAGCACCGGCUAACUUCGUG
rnacentral:rRNA from 1 species